CUCGCCCCUGCUCUAGGGUUCGCCGCCCGCCGGAGCCCCCCGCCGCCCUGCUCCGCUGUUGCCCCUCCCUCCGCCUGCCUCGCCCCCUCCCCUACACUCACCCCUGCCCGAUCUGGAUCUGGAUGAGGCGUUGCCUCCCGUUCCUCUCAUCGCGUCCCUUCUGCCAGCCAUGGAAGAGGGGAGGAAGAAGCUUCUCUGUAGAAUCAGCCGAUCGAGCGGGCUCCUGAUGUUGGCUUGCGAGAAUGCGGCAGAUCUCGUCGAUGCUGCAGGGCCUGGCCCGUUCCAUGUUUCUGGGAAAGGAUAGGAAGGUGGAGGAGGAGCACCAGGGGACGGUGCUGCGGUCGUCGGGGACGCUCUGGGGCGAGGGCUUCGAGACGUUCGCUGCCGCGUGCUGGACGUACAAGCACCAGCACCUCUGCUGGCCGUUUCCUCCAUACUGACAGAUCGCCGUGUUGCUAUCCUUGUAUGUUGUAGCCAGGAGGAGAGGUAGGCGCGGUGCCGCUCAUGGCCGUGGCGUCGUGCUUGUGGUAGUGGUGAAUUGGAGAGAACGACCUCCUAUCUAUGCACGUCCAUCUACUGCGGGCUUUCCCUCUUCCAGCAACAUCAUGUCUCAGUUUGCCGCCGCCAUUCAUCCGGAUGGCCCUGGACAUACAUACCAGCACCACACCCUUCCUCCUGUUGCUGGGGACGCAGCUAUCAUCGGUCCUCUGUUGUCUGCAGCCUGGACGUACAAGCCGUCGAAGCUGACGUUCCUUUGCAUAGGCUGCACAGACGGGUGUACAAGUUGUUGCUUCUGUUCAUCCACGCGCCAGUGACUCACAUACGUUGCUAGCUUUUGUUACUUGGUCCAUCCCUAGGAAGCAAUAAGAUUACUUCAGUAUGCAUAUACACGUUGCUAGCUACGUGCAGGGUAUCUCAAGUUCACAAAUAUUUAUGAGAUUGUUUUACUAGCUUUUGUUAUUUUUUGGCCCUUCAGUAUGCAGAUUGAUCUCAACAUUCAUAAGAAUCUUAAAAAAAAAUGGAGAUGAAAAUACUUCAAGUAGUUCUGAGUGGACAUCAUUUGAUAGCAUUUUGUUGUAGCAUCUACAGAAGACCUUUUCAUUUCAUUUUACCGAGAAACGCUGGAGGGUUCAUGUUUUCCUUAUCCAGGACAUUUUGAAGGUUUCUGAUGCAUUCUUACAAGAAGCAACAAUCCAGAGGUAAUUAGUGAAAUGAUAAGAGGGUCAACUAAUGGUGUUCAAUUUUUCCUUCAAGCAAACAGUUUGUACCCAAAUACAAUACUAUUCAGUAUCAUCCUGAAACCAAUAUCUCAAAGAUUCAUUCUUUAUGAAUUCGAGCCUUGGCAAACCACUCCCAUUACAAGGUUCCAUAAACAUGCUGGAUUUGUAUGUUGAUAUUCAAAUUAAUUGGGCAAAAAAUAGAUAUAUUUACUCUGAUGUUUUUACAUAUUUAGGUGAAUAGCAUCCUGUUUUUACUUCAAAUAAUUAACAAAAAAAUUAAAGAUCGUGAUUAUGUUGUUUAUUAAAUUCCUCUUGCAUUAUCUUUGAUGAAAAGUAUAUUAUCUGUCAGCAACGAUAUGUUAAUAUGGGCAAAGGAAAGUCAAAAUAUGUUAUCUCAGGCCAACAUUCUGAAAUUAGUGAAGCCCUAUAGUAUUUACUGGAUUGAUCGCGACACUGCUCAUAUUUUUUGGUACUUUAAUAUCUGAAAAUUUUCUUUUAAUCAUGAGCCGAGGAGAUAAUGGGUUGCAGGCACGCGCCCCGUCCUUCUCUUGUUCAAGGUUUGGCGGAUGCAUUAAGUUUGGAGAGGAAACUAACAUGAAUGACCAGGCGAUCUUUUUCUGACCUUUUUCUCCCUUUCUAAUUACUCCUCUCAUUUCCUCUGUUCUUCUCAGCCAUCUACUUUUCUAUCGCCAUAUCGAUCUCUAAACUCACUUCAUCUUUUUUCUUCCAAUUCAUCCGAUUGUUGUGUUCCAAGCACACAUGUCAUAAAGCAUCACCUCCUGCUUGUUCGAACAUGUUUGAUGUACUUACAUAUUAACAUGUUUGAUGUACUUACACAUUAACAAAACUGAUCAGUAACAUUCAUGCCGAAUUAUUUGGGUUUGGUCCUCUGCUUUUUUACUGUUUAUUUAUUGAUGAAGAUAGCAGAUGUUCAUGUUUUUAAAUAUAGUUACAUGUGUUUGUACAAAAAAAAUAUAGUUACAUGUGCUUCCAGUUGGUAGAGAUCAAAAAAUUAACUCACUGAUGCAAGGAAAAAGAGCUCUUUUAUAGACACUGCCAGCAGUGGAUACAUGGGAUACGGGUGCCAGGACGACACCAUCUUCUGCGCCGUCUGCCUUCCUCUCCUCCAGCGGGAGAGGCCCCUGCCUUCCUCUCCUCCUGCGUGGUGGCAGAUGGCCGCAGUUAACAGCGCUCCUGCGAGCGGGGGACACGAGUGCGGUGCAGACAGUGACCAGGUGUGACGAGACAGCCGCCGGCCAACUGUGGGCGGUUCUUUCACGUGCAGUAGACCGUGCCAUUCUAUGACGAGGAUGUGUUCCAGGAAAUGGAAACAAAUGAAACUGGAUGCUCAUCAUGUAUUUCAUGAAGAAAUUUGCAUGUCUGGGGCAUGUCUCCAUAUAAAAGGCCGAUCUCUGCACAACAGUAGUUUCUUCAGGUUAUGGUGUCCGAUUUUUUUCAUCUCAUUUUGCCAUGCACUAGAUUACAUGGUUAAUACUGUCACUAUGCAAUAACUGGGAAGAUUACGGAGGGAAGGGACAAUAUGUAAGAUGGGGCAAGGAGGCUGGUGUAGAUCUUGCUUCUCAUGACGACUUCAUAUCUGAUGCAACACUUCAGAGCUACUACAAAAGCUUUUUUUAGGAAGCUACUACAAAGCUUUUUUUCAGAAGCUACUACAAAGCUUUUGUUCAGGUAAAUUUCUAGCUUAAAUGGCCAUCGGAAAUGGAUUCCUGUUAUCCGUCAUGCUUGGUGACUAAUGGAUAUCAUCAUAUGCAUAGCUAUAUGAAAUGCUACCAGCAAACAGUUACUGUAGUUUACCAGCUCUGAAUUCUGUAGUCGUGUUUUCCUGUUAUACCAGACUUUCAAUAUUGUGCAUAUGUUUCCUUUUCUUAGCUUGUUUUUUCAAGAGUAAACACAAUCACAAAUGAGGCCUACAAAGACGAUCCUACCAUUCUUAACUAGACGAUGAUCGUCGAGUCAUGCUGCCCUUCACAUCCAUCAGGCGAUACACUCUAGGUCCUUAUCGCGGUCUUAUUUUUGGGACUUUGAAACCAUCUUCCAUCACGUCUAAUAUUGUUGUAUUUCAUAAUAGUAAUUGUUCAGCCUUUGACUGACAUAUGGAUGAUAUUUGUAAUAUAUUUCUUUCUUCCAUAUUACCAGGAAAUAUGUCGAAGCACAGAAUAUAUUCCAUUUGCAGUGGACUAACAGAACAACACAACACAUAAAAAGAGGAGUAUAAGUGGAAACCUUUCUUUAUCUUUAAAUUCUUGAGGACGGUAACAUUAUGAUGAAGGUGGAACCAUAGAGAGAUGUGUAUUUUUAAUUGAGAUAUUUUCAGGAGUACCUUUGCAAAGCUGAUAUAUCUUUCUUUUACAAGAUAUGGUUGCACUUGCUUCAUCUACAUAGGCCGUCUGGAAUGCCAUGAGGUCGGGAUUGGUGUAGGAAAUCUUCAAAGCUAUUAUAUUGGUCUCCAGAAACUUGCAAUACAUCAAUGCAUUUUUAUUUUUAUUUUUUUGCUGACACCACAGCUACCACCUCUUCACUAAAUGACAGAGGUUGCCAGCAACUGCACAUGGAAAGAUUGAAUGUUAUAUUCUGUCUACUAAUCAAUAAGGAGGGAGAUCAAAUUACUGCUCUCAAAUAUUCACCUGAUUGAUUUUGAAAAUAGGGUUAAAAAUGGUGUUAUGAAUGAAGAUGGAUGGGGGUGAGGGCUGGGAGAAAGAUGUUGUAUUGCAAGAAGAAGUUGGUUAAGAAGACUGAUGAUUAUGAGAAUGAAGGACACGAACUUUUGAAUUAGACCAAUUGUUUGAUCGAUCAUUUUUGUUCUCUUGAAAACGGUGUAUGGUCAAUUUUAGUAUUCUGAUGUGAUUGAAGAAUAUAGGAGGGACAAAGAGAUGUGCUACUGCCAGGACAAUUAUGACUUUCUAUUCAGGUAUUCAGUUAUGAUUCUCCAUGCUCAUGCUUCUCCUAUUCACCUGGAAGUUUAUUGAUGGGAGGGAAGCCACUUCUACUUUGAUGAUUUCUUGGAAGUUCAGCUAGGUGAAUUUACGAUCAGUAUAUACAAGUCAGGUUGUUUGCGAGAAAAUUUCAUUCCUUAGAAUCAUUGUCAUUGUUGUUGCCUACAAGGUACUUGAAGAAAAUGCCCGAGACAUAUUUUAAGGAGUAUAAUUCAGCACUAAGGCUAUUAUUACAACGAUGAAAUCUUUGUUGUGGUAGUUAUGUCUUCAAAUGUGUCGAUCCCUAUCGGCUUACUGAAGUAAACUUUUUUUUGUCGAUUUCUAUUGGCUUACUGACAGCUUGUUUAUUCUUUUCAAAUUUUAAUUCCUUGAUCUUUGCCUCUGCCCAUCUCCAUAUCACA